UAACUUUAGAUUAAAUAAGAAUACUUAUUAAACUUAAAUAUAUUAAUAAAUAGAAGAAAUAAAACUAAUAAGGAUUACUCUAAAAAUAAUAAGUAAAAUAAUAAUAACUUAACUCUAAAAGUUAACCUUUAGAAUUUAAAUUAGAAUUUAUAAAACAUAUUUUAAAUAUAAUACUUUCUGAAUUCUCUAGAAUAAGACACUAUAAAAAGUAAAAGCUUUAUUUAAUUAGAUACUAAGUUUAUAUAAAGCUUUUUCGAUAAAUCGAAUAGUUUAGAAAUACUAUUUAAAAUAAGAAGUAUAUUUCUUCUAAAACUAAAUACUAGUUAGAAACUAGUAGUAUAUAAGUAGAAUAAUUAAAAAAUAAAGUAUAUUUUAAAAAAAGGUUAAAUAGUAUAUAAAAUUAUUCAAAGGGAAAUACUAAUAAUUAAACUUAUACUUAAUAAAUUACCUAGUUCUUAUAGCUAAAGUAUUCUACUAGCUUAAGUUAAUAUUAACCUAUUAUUAGGAAUAAAGACUUUAGGAAUAUAACUCCUUCUCAAGAAUAUUAUAACUUAUUAUAUAAUACUUUUUAAUAAGCUAAAAUAUAUAUUCUAUAAAAAUACUAGUAUAAUAAUUAUUAAUAACCUAUCUUGAAAUAUAGACUAAGGAGUUAACCUUAUAUAUAAGUAUUUAAAUAUUAAAUUCUUAUAUAUAAAAGAAAUAAAUAUAAAUAAAAGCUUCAGUAUAUUAUUAACUAAUCUUAAUAUUUUCAAAUAAAUUUAAAUUAAAAUAUAUAAAAUUAGACUUAAAAAAAGUAAAUUAUAUAUAUAGAGAGUAAAAUUAGAAGAAACUCUAAUAGAAGCUUAUAGUAGUUCUAAUAUAUAAAUUAAUUAUUAAAUAUAUAUAUAUAGGAGUAAAAAACUAAUUAAACUUUCUAGUAGUUAAUUUCCGCUGAAGUUUCCUUUAGGAUAAUAAUAUUAAACUUAGUUUUAUAAAGUAAAAUGAAUAAUUAAAGACUUAGGGGUAUUAUAUUACUUUUAUCUAUUCUUAAAUUUAAAAUAUAUAAGAAGUUUUUAAUUAAAUAUAGGUAUUUAAAUAUACUAAUACUAAUAAGCUAUUUUUAAUAAGUAAAACUAGUAAUAUGGGAUAAACUAAAUAUAAAGUUAAAAUACUAGAAUAAAUACUUAUUAGAUAUUAUAAAAAAUAUUAAUAUAUCUUAAUAGUAAGAUAGUAGCUAUAAAAGUCGGAAUCUACUAAAAACUAUAUAAUAACUUACUUAUUAAAUAUACUAACUUUAAAAAUAGAUAGUACUUAAGUAUCUUACUUAUAUUUUACUUAUAGUAUAAAUAUAAUAUAUUAAGAAGUAAGUAGAUAUAGAAAUUAAUAAUAAAACUUAAAAUAUAAGUCUAAAUAGAAUAACUUCUAAUAUAGAUCUUAGUAGUAG
rnacentral:ncRNA from 1 species